AAUGAACGCUGGCGGCAGGCCUAACACAUGCAAGUCGAGCGAAGUCUUCGGACUUAGCGGCGGACGGGUGAGUAACGCGUGGGAACAUGCCCUUUGGUGCGGAAUAGCCCCGGGAAACUGGGAGUAAUACCGCAUGUGCCCUUCGGGGGAAAGAUUUAUCGCCAAAGGAUUGGCCCGCGUUGGAUUAGGUAGUUGGUGGGGUAAUGGCCUACCAAGCCGACGAUCCAUAGCUGGUUUGAGAGGAUGAUCAGCCACACUGGGACUGAGACACGGCCCAGACUCCUACGGGAGGCAGCAGUGGGGAAUCUUAGACAAUGGGCACAAGCCUGAUCUAGCCAUGCCGCGUGAUCGAUGAAGGCCUUAGGGUUGUAAAGAUCUUUCAGUGGGGAAGAUAAUGACGGUACCCACAGAAGAAGCCCCGGCUAACUCCGUG
rnacentral:rRNA from 1 species